rnacentral:rRNA from 1 species
UACGUAGGUCCCGAGCGUUGUCCGGAUUUAUUGGGCGUAAAGCGAGCGCAGGUGGUUUAUUAAGUCUGGUGUAAAAGGCAGUGGCUCAACCAUUGUAUGCAUUGGAAACUGGUAGACUUGAGUGCGGGAGAGGAGAGUGGAAUUCCAUGUGUAGCGGUGAAAUGCGUAGAUAUUAGGAGGAACAUCAGUGGCGAAGGCGACUUUCUGGACUGUAACUGACGCUGAGGCACGAAAGUGUGGGGAGCAAACAGG